UCUGGUCAAGAGCUCACCAUCUGCAGAAUAAGGACCAGAACUUUACAGAGGUAAACUGUGUCAGUUCUUUUACUAUUACAGCAGUUCAUCGUGGCCCUGUAGUUCGCCUCCUUCACCAAAGCUCUGUCAGGGACCUACAUGAAGAGUGCCAUCACUCAGAGAGACACUUUGACCUGUCCUGCUCUCUCAUCGGACUCAGACAGCAGCUUUGAGAUGGGUUUCAACAAUAACAUUGAGUUGCUUGAGAAUUCAUGUAGUAAAAACCAGAUACAGACUACAGUAUGAUCCAUUUUUUUUGUGGUUCAAUCAGAGUCUGCUCUCAAUACUGUCCAGUUUUAUAGUUGUUCCUAUUAAUUGAUUGACUGGCGUUUGUCCAUGACUCUACUGUCAAACCCCUCACAUGGUUUUAUUUGAUGCUGUGUUGUUGCAGCCUAGUAUUCAAACUGAUAUACCAUUUUUAGUUGGAAAAAAACAGUGUUUAUAAUUUGCAAUUCCUGACUUCUGUAGUGUUGUGGUUUCUUGCAGGUAACCUGCUGUUCCUGGCUGUGGUCAGCCAUUUUGGGGCGAAGCUGCACCGGCCCAGGCUCAUUGCUAUGGGCUGUUUCCUCAUGGCUGUAGGAUCCUUCCUCACAGGCCUGCCACACUUCUUCAUGGGACGGACCUGAGCCCUAGGACCAUGCCCCAGGAUUACCUGACAUGAUGACUC